rnacentral:rRNA from 1 species
GAUUAUAUUAAGGGUUGUUGAUAUUAUUAUAAUAUAUUAGAUGAGUAUAAUGAGUGAAAAUUAGGGUUGCUUUAUAGAGAAAUGAGUACUGUUUAGGAAUUUAAAAUAUUUGUUAAAAAUAUUAGGUUAAUUAGUACCUUUUGUAUUAGGGUUUUUUAAUUUGAUUUAGAAUUAAUCUAGAUCUUGAUGAAUAUCGGGCUAUUAUUUAAGAGUGAUGGUUUUGUUGCAUAAAAUUUUUUAUUAUUUAAUAGUUAUGAAAUAUUAUUCAAGUUAUUUUUUAUCUAGUUUUCUAAGGAGUAUAAUGGUAGGUAUUUAUAUUAUGGAGGUAAGCGGGGAUUAGCUUGUUUAUUAUUUAUAUAUUUUAUUUUAAAUUUAUUGUUGGUGAAGUUGAAAGUGCUUAGUUAGAUGGUAUUAUUACAGAUUAAAAUUUAUUGUUAAUUUUUUAAGAAUUAUGUUUGAAUUGGGAAUUUUAUUUUAAUUUUUGUUUUAAUGGUAUAAUGAUAAAAUUAGUAAUAUUUGUAUAUUUAUUUAAUUAGUUGUUAAAUUAUUUUUGUAAGUAAGUUAUAGCAAAAUAUUAGGAGUAAAGAAUUAGGCAAAAAUAAACUUUUGACUGUUUAGCAAAAACAUUGUUUUUUGUUGAGAUAAAAAAUAAGUUCUGUCCGCUGCUGGAAGGUGAAGGGCUGCAGUAUUUUGACUGUAUGAAGGUAGCAUAAUCAUUAGCUUUUUAAUUGGGAGCUGGUAUGAAGGUGAAACAGAGGUUGGCUGUUUUGUUCUUAAUUGGUGAAUUUUAUUUUUAUGUGAAAAAUCAUGAGUGGGUUAAAGGGACAAGAAGACCCUAGUAAGUUUUAUUUUUUAUUGUAAUGCAUAUAUAGGUUAUAAAAUUUGUAUAAUUUAUGAUUAGGGGGUUUGACUGGGGCGGUAUGUUAAUAAACAUUAUAUAUUUUUUAAUUUUUGAUAACGAUAAUAAAGACCUAAGUGGGUUAGUUGAGUGUAAAACUACUGUAGGGAUAACAGCGUAAUUUUUUUUAAGAGUUCUUAUUGACAGAAAA